rnacentral:lncRNA from 1 species
ACAACAGCGGCGUGACGCUCAGGGAUCCCCCGGGCGCCCCGGGCUCCCGCCUGCGCGAGCAUCCCGGGGACCUGGAGCGGGGGCGGUGUCGGGGCCUCUCAGAGACUCUCAGGGGAGCACCGGGCUUGGCGGUCUCCCCGGAUCCCUUGACGGAAGGGGAGAUUGGCUCCAGCCUCAGAGAGGGCUGCAGAACCCUGGAUGGAUGGGAAGUCUGGAGUCUCCAGGAUUCAUGGAUGGGAAUAAAUGUGAAGGUCUUGAGUCCAAAAUGGCCAGCUUGGCUAGGCGCGGUGACUCAUGCCCAUCAUCCCAGCACUUUGGGAGGCCGAAGCAGGAGGAUCGCUUGAGCUCAAGAGUUUGAGACCAGCUUGACAAACAUGGAAACCCUACUUGGCUGUGCUUCCUGCUAACACGAGGCCCUGCGAUUGCUGAGAACAACAGCCCCGAGACUGCGCGGCUCCGGGGGGAAAAAAACCUGGCCCCCUUUCAAGCCUUGACAGAAAACCUUUCAGAGCCCUGAACUCCCACCAGCCCGAGGACGGCUCCGAUAGCUCUGACAAAUGAGCCGGGACUGUGCCCAGGGCUCCCAGGCUGGGAGGGGACCCCGGCUCCCUUGUUCCUUCCUAAGGUCGGAAAAAAAAGCGCGUGUCCCUUCCUCCACCACAGAGGAACAGAGAAGUGUUUGCAUUGGUGGAUUUUUAAAUACUUGUUUAUUUUUAUUAAAGUGCAAUUCACAUGAAAUUAACCAUUUUUAAAGUAGUGGCAUUUUAUACAUGCAGUGUUGUGCAACCGCCACCUCUACUUAGUUCCAGAAUAUUUUCAUCACCUUAAAGGGAUACCCUGUCCCCAUUACCAGUCACUUCCCAUUUCUCCACCCCCAGUCCCUGGCAAACACCAAUCUGUUUUCUGGCCCUAUGGAUUUGCCUCUGUGGGCAUCUCACAUAGAUAGGAUUGUACAAUAUGUGGCCUUUUAUGUCUGGUUUCUUUUACUCUAGGUAAUAUUUUCUUUUUUUUUUUAAUUUCUUUUUUCUUUUCUUUCUUUUUUUUUUUUUUUGAGACAGAGUUUCACUCUUCUUGCCUAGGCUGCAGUGCAAUGGCACGAUCUCGGCUCACUGCAGCCUUGACCUCUGGGGUUCAAGCGAUCCUCCUGCCUCAGCCCUGCACCAUGUGCCACCAUGCCCAACUAAUUUUCCUAUUUUUAGUACAGACAGGGUUUCACCAUGUUGGCCAGGCUGAUCUGGAACUCCUGACCUCAGGUGAUCCACCUGCCUCGGCCUCCCAAAGUGCUGGGAUUACAGGCAUAAGCCACCGCACCCGGCCCAACUUCCAGUUUCUUCUUUCUGCCCACUCCCUCUCCACGUGGCUCAUCAAAGUGUGGAGUUUGUUUCAUGGUGGUUACAGCACAACCCCUCCCCAUCCACCUGUGCAUCCACUCAUUCGUUCCUUUAAACAUUUAUUCAAUCAAUCCUUCCCCAUCCCUGGGGCGCCUGGCACUUGGCCUGCUGCUGCCACCUAGACCCCAGGCUCAUCGUCGCUAGAGCAACCCCACCUCCCUUCCUGGAGCAGGUGCGUCCUCACCCAGAUUUGCCUUAUUAGCAAAUCCCCUGUGAUUCUGGGUUCCACCCGGCCCUCGGUCUGGGUCUCACACACUUUUGGUCCAAGUGCCAACCUGUUUGGGUUGCUCUGUGAUUAGCAGAUGAUGACCCCAAGGUCCCAUCUAGCCCACCACCUGUGUUUCGGCUUUCAAGCUCGGAAUGUUUUAUUUAUCUUUUAAAACUGUGAUAAAAUAUACAUAACAGACAGGGCACAGUGGCUCACACCUGCAAUUCCAGCACUUUGGGAGGCUGAGACGAGCGGAUCAUUUGAGGCCAGGAGUUCAAGACCAGCCUGGACAACACGAUGAAACUCUGUUUCUACUAAAAAUACAAAAAUUAGCUGGGUGUGGUGGCAGGUGUCUGUAAUCCCAGCUACUCGGGAGGUUGAGGCAGUAGUAUCACUUGAAGCCGGGAGGCAGAGUUGCAGUGAGCUGAGAUUGCGCCACUGCACUCCAGCCUGGGUGACAAAGACUCAGACUCAAAAAAAAAAGUAUAUAUAUACACACACACACAUACACACACACACACACACAUACACACACACAUACACACACACAUAUAUACACAGAUACACACACAAACACACACACACAUAUAUAUAUGUAUACACAUAACAGAAAAUUGACCAUUUUAACCAUUUAAAAAAAUAGAUGGCGUCUCUCUUUGUCAUCUAGGCUGGAGUGCAGUGGCACAAUCAUAGUUCACUACAGCCUCAACCUCCUGGGCCCAAGCCACCCUCCUGCCUCAGCCUCCCGAGUAGCUGGGACCACAGGUGUGCACCACCAUGACUGCCUAAUUCUUUUUCUUUUCAUAGAGAUGGGGUCUCCCUAUGUUGCCUGGGCUGGCCUUUUUACAUUUUAUAAAAUUUGGGAGAAUAUUAAAAGAAAAAUAUUUUGUGACAUGUGAAAGCUCUAGGAAAUUCAAAUUUUGGUGUCCAUAAAUAAAGUUAAUGGCACAUGCCUGUGCCCAUUUGUCACAUCUCAUCUUAAGGCUGCUUUGGGGACACAAAGGCAGAGUUCAGUGGUUGCAACACAGACCUUAUGGCUUGCAAAGCCCGCUCUUUGCAGGAACACUUUGCCCAGCCUGCAAUUCCUCCUCGUUUCACCAGCCCCCUCCAACUCUGCCGAGCCACCUUCAUCUUGCCCGGGGAAUCAACCCGAGCCAUCUACUUUCUCCCCUGGCCCAACAGCUCAUUCUCCACCCGUCAGCCAGAGGGACCUUCUGAAACAUCACGGGAUCGAGGGAGAGGCCUCAGGAUAUGGCCUCUGGGACAUCACCUUCUGUCACUCCUUUCCCUCGGCCCCAGCCCAGGGGCCUAUUGUCACUGUUCCUCAGACCCACUGGGUCUUUCUGGACUCACAUGUGUGUGUCCACUGAACCCCCACGCUGGGCCUGCAAACUUUACUCGGGGUGGCACGUUCAGAUCCCAGCUCAGAUGUCACAACUGCAGAGAGGCCACCCUUGGAAGAUGCUUCUCUUAGUUCAAGAUUUCUGAGCCACAUGUCAGUAGGGAUACAUGCCUCCCUCCCCACUGCACCCAUCCAUGACAACCAAAAAUAUCCCAGACAUUGUGAGAACCAGGGCAGUACUCACCUUGUUUUUAUAAAAGCAGCUUAAUAUUUAAUAAAUUAAUUAAUUUAAUUAAUAUUAAUAAUUUUAUUUUUUGAGACGGAGUUUUGCUCUUGUUGCCCAGGCUGGAGUGCAAUAGUGCAAUCUCAGCUUACUGCAACCUCCGUCUCCCCGGUUCAAGCCAUUCUCUUGCCUCAGCCUCCAGAGUAGCUGGGAUUACAGGCAUGCGCCACCACGUCCAGCUAAUUUUGUAUUUUUAGUAGAGACAGGGUUUCACUACGUUGGUCAGGCUGGUUUCGAUCUCCUGACCUCAAGUGAUCCAUCCGUCUCCACUUCCCAAAGUGCUGGGAUUACAGGCAUGAGCCACAGUGCCUGGCCUUGAAGAUGGGUGAUUUGUAAAGAAACAAAAUGUAUUUGUUAAUUUCUGGAAGCAGGGAAGUCCAAGGUCAAGGGACAGUUCUGGUGAGAGUCUUCCUCCUGGUGGGGACUUUCUGGAGAGGAGUCUGGGCAUGCUAACUUGCUAUCUCAGAUCUUUCUUCUUCUUUCAACUCUUUCUUUCUUAAUUUUUUUUUUUCAGAGACAGAGUCUCACUAUGUUGCCCAGGCUGGUCUUGAACUCCUGGGCUCAAGGGAUCCACUCGCUUUGGCUUCCCAAAGUGCUGGGAUUACAGGCAUGAGCCACCGAGCCUGGCCCCAGUCAUAACAUAAUCUAAUCAUAAUCUAAUCUAAUCAUGAUUUUAAAGGUCUCACUUCUCAAUGCUGCCACAUUGAGGAUUAAGUCUCUCUUUUCUUUCUUCCUUCCCUUCUUUCUCUUUCUUUCUUUCUCUUUCUUUUUCUUUCUUUCUCUCUGUCUUUCUCUUUCUUUCUUUCUCUCUUUCUUUCUCUUUCUUUCUCUCUUUCUUUCUUUCUGAUGGAGUCUCGCUCUGUCGCCAGGCUGGAGUGCAGUGGCGCGAUCUCGGCUCACUACAACCUCCGUCUCCUGGGUUCAAGCGAUUUUCCUGCCUCAUCCUCUGAGUAGCUAGGAUUACAGGCACCUGCCACCACACCCAGCUAAUUUUUGUAUUUUUAGUAGAGACGGGAUUUCACCACAUUGGCCAGGCUGGUCUCGAUCUCCUGACCUGGUGUUCUGUCCACCUUGGCCUCCCAAAGUGCUGGGAUUACAGGCAUGAGCCAUCGUGCCCAGCAUUUUUUUUUCUUUUUUUUUUGAGGCAGAGUCUCUCUCCGUUCCCCAGGCUCGAGUGCCGUGGCAUGAGCCUGGCUCACUGCAAUUUCUGCCUCCCGGGUUCAAGUGAUUCUCCUGCCUCAGCCUCCUGAGUAGCUGGGAUUAUAGGCACACGCUACCAUGCCCGGCUAAUUUUUUGUGUUUUUUAGUAGAGAUGGGGAUCUCACCAUGUUGCCCAGGCUGAUCUCAAACUCCUGAGCUCAGAUGAUUUGCCUGCCUCGGCCUCCCAAAGUGCUGGGAUUACAGGCAUGAGUCACCGUGCCCAGCCCUCCUUGACUUUUGGAGUGGACAAACAUUCAAACAGUAGCAGCGUGUAACAUUGACUCAUAUACAAAUCACAUCAAAUCAAAUUACAAAGUCACCAACCAUGAGUCAUCUGGAUACAUGGGAAAUACAGUAUUGGGUGCUGUAACUUCCUAUCCUCAGCACCACUGACAUUCGGGGCUGGAUUAUUCUCUUUGUGGGGCCAUCCUGCGCCCAGUAGGCUGCAGAGCAGCAUCCCUGGCCUCCACCCACCAGAUGCCAGUAACAUCCCCUCCCCAGAUUUUCUACAACAACCAAAAAUGUCUCCAGACAUUGCCUGGUGUCAGCAGUUAAAAUUACCCCCCAGUUGACCAAUCUCACUUGCCUAUUUUUGAUGGGAGGUAGAGGAGGGAGCAGAGGCCGGGUGCAGCACUUUGGGUGCCUGUAAUCCCAGUACUUUGGGAGGCCAAGGUGGGCGGAUCACCUGAGGUUAGGAGUUCAAGGCCAACCUGGCCAACAUGGUGAAACCCUGUCUCUACUGAAAAUACAAAAAUUACCUGGAUGUGGUGGUUCACGCCUGUAAUCCCAGCACUUUGGGAGGCCGAGGCAGGCAAUCAUGAGGUCAGGAGAUCAAGACCAUCCUGGCUAACAUGGUGAAACCCCGUGUCUACUAAACACACACACACACACACACACACACACACAAACAAAAUUAGCUGGGCAUAGUGGUGCGCACAUGUAGUCCCAGCUACUCAGGAGGCUGAGGCAGGAGAAUCACUUGAACCCGGGAAGUAGGUAGAGGUUGCAGUGAGCCAAGAUUGCGCCGUUGCACUCCAGCCUGAGUGAUAGAGUGAAACUCCAUCUCAAAAAAAAUAGUAAUUAAAAAAAGUAAAAAAUAAAGGCUGGGCGCGGUGGCUCACGCCUGUAAUCCCAGCACUUUGGGAGGCCGAGGCGGGUGGAUCACGAGGUCAGGAGAUCAAGACCAUCCUGGCUAACAUGGUGAAACCUCGACUCUACUAAAGAAUACAAAAAAUUAGCCAUGCAUAGUGGCGGGCGCCUGUAGUCCCAGCUACUCGAGAGGCUGAGGCAGGAGAGUGGCAUGAACCCGGGAGGCAGAGCUUGCAGUGAGCCAA